UAAGAAAACAUAUCACUAGAUAUUACAUAUUAGAUGUUCAUGUCUGACUCUGAUCCAUACGAAACAGAUUUUCUGUCCUGGGACACUCGGCUAACCAUCAAGAAAGAACACACUCCAGUGGGCAUCCUUUAUCCAUCCAGACCCUCAUACAGAUGGUUGGAGUUUUGAUUCACCUAAAGUACCAUGCAAGAGCACUCAUUUUCCCUCUUGAGACCAUGGUGUGACCUGCAAGGUCGAAUGGAGACUGUAAACAAGACAAUCUUGGAGUCACCUGCAUUCACUGGUCCAGUUGUUAGUCCAAUUACAGAUGGAGAUUGUAGAAGAG